rnacentral:rRNA from 1 species
GCAAGUCGAACGGUAGAGAUCCUUCGGGAUCUUGAGAGUGGCGAACGGGUGAGUAACACGUAGAUGAUCUGCCUUUAAGUUUGGGAUAGCUCAUAGAAAUAUGGGGUAAUACCGGAUAAUAUCUUAUCACUGUGGUGAUUUGAUGAAAGGGGCUUCGGCCUCGCUUUUAGAUGAGUCUGCGGCUUAUUAGCUAGUUGGUAGGGUAAAGGCCUACCAAGGCAAUGAUGAAUAGCCGGCCUGAGAGGGUGACC